UGCCCCUUUGGAGAAGAUUAGAUCUGUCUGGAAGUGAAAGUGAGGACUCUGAAUAUUUUGAUAUCUCAUUUGGGGGCGAACCUGAAAUGGAACUACUGUCAUUAUUAUACAUAAUGUUAUUGCCGGAUGAUACAUGCCAUAAGUUGGAUAUGACCAUUUGCACUAAAGAUAAGAAAAAGUUUGUAGUGUCCUCUUAGCACUUGCCGACAUUCGCGAGAGUUGUUAUGGUUUGAAGUCGAUAGAUGAGGAUAUGGAAGCUCUAAAGAGAUGUUGCAUGAAAGAAAGGAAAUUGUAUCAUUCUUUGGUAUUAAGAAUAAGUGAGAGGAUGAUCCUUGAGAAGCUUAGGACUCACGCUACAGCAGGAGCUCGUCGAAGUCGAACAUUUCAGAAUGCAAAUAAAACCUCUGCAAGAA